UACAGAGGGUGCAAGCGUUGUUCGGAAUUACUGGGCGUAAAGGGUUCGUAGGCGGCCACUUAAGUCAGACGUGAAAUCCCUCAGCUUAACUGGGGAACUGCGUCUGAUACUGGAUGGCUUGAGUGCAGGAGAGGAAUGCGGAAUUCCAGGUGUAGCGGUGAAAUGCGUAGAUAUCUGGAGGAACGCCGGUGGCGAAGGCGGCAUGCUGGACUGUAACUGACGCUGAGGAACGAAAGCCAGGGGAGCAAACGGG
rnacentral:rRNA from 1 species